rnacentral:rRNA from 1 species
UACAGAGGGGGCAAGCGUUGUUCGGAAUUACUGGGCGUAAAGGGCGCGUAGGCGGCCUUCUAAGUCGAACGUGAAAUCCCCGGGCUCAACCCGGGAACUGCGUCCGAUACUGGAAGGCUUGAAUCCGGGAGAGGGAUGCGGAAUUCCAGGUGUAGCGGUGAAAUGCGUAGAUAUCAGGAGGAACACCAAUAGCGAAGGCAGCUCGCUGGGACGGUACUAACGCUAAGGCGCGAAAGCGUGGGGAGCGAACAGG